GAUUGUUAAGAUCACGGUUUUAACAACAUGGUUUGAACAAAGUUCAAGAGAGUUUAAUUCUUUCAGCAGCAAUGAAUUGCAAACUGUAAACACAUAAACAAUG
ncrna:unclassified sequences RT-9 RNA